rnacentral:rRNA from 1 species
AUUGAACGCUGGCGGCAGGCCUAACACAUGCAAGUCGAACGGUAACAGGAAGAAGCUUGCUUCUUUGCUGACGAGUGGCGGAUGGGUGAGUAAUGUCUGGGAAACUGCCUGAUGGAGGGGGGUAACUACUGGAAACGGUAGCUAAUACCGCAUAACGUCGCAAGACCAAAGAGGGGGACCUUCGGGCCUCUUGCCAUCGGAUGUGCCCAGAUGGGAUUAGCUAGUAGGUGGGGUAACGGCUCACCUAGGCGACGAUCCCUAGCUGGUCUGAGAGGAUGACCAGCCACACUGGAACUGAGACACGGUCCAGACUCCUACGGGAGGCAGCAGUGGGGAAUAUUGCACAAUGGGCGCAAGCCUGAUGCAGCCAUGCCGCGUGUAUGAAGAAGGCCUUCGGGUUGUAAAGUACUUUCAGCGGGGAGGAAGGGAGUAAAGUUAAUACCUUUGCUCAUUGACGUUACCCGCAGAAGAAGCACCGGCUAACUCCGUG